rnacentral:rRNA from 1 species
AGGGCAAGUCUGGUGCCAGCAGCCGCGGUAAUUCCAGCUCCAAUAGCGUAUAUUAAAGUUGUUGCAGUUAAAAAGCUCGUAGUUGAAUUUCGGGGUUAGUAGGUUGGUCAUGCCUCAGGUAUGUACUGAUCUCACUGAUUCCUCCUUCCUGAUGAAUCGUAAUGCCAUUAAUUUGGUGUUGCGGGGAAACUGGACUGUUACUUUGAAAAAAUUAGAGUGUUUAAAGCAGGCUAACGCUUGAAUACAUUAGCAUGGAAUAAUGAGAUAGGACGUUCGAUCCUAUUUUGUUGGUUUCUAAGAUUGACGUAAUGAUUAAUAGGGAUAGUUGGGGGCAUUAGUAUUCAAUUGUCAGAGGUGAAAUUCUUGGAUUUAUUGAAGACUAACUACUGCGAAAGCAUUUGCCAAGGAUGUUUUCAUUAAUCAAGAACGAAAGUUAGGGGAUCGAAGACGAUCAGAUACCGUCGUAGUCUUAACCAUAAACUAUGCCGACUAGGGAUCGGAUGAUGUUAAUUUUUUAAUGACUCAUUCGGCGCCUUACGGGAA